rnacentral:rRNA from 1 species
AGAGUUUGAUCAUGGCUCAGAUUGAACGCUGGCGGCAGGCUUAACACAUGCAAGUCGAGCGGUAACAGGAGAAGCUUGCUUCUCGCUGACGAGCGGCGGACGGGUGAGUAAUACUUAGGAAUCUGCCCAGUAGUGGGGGAUAGCACGGGGAAACUCGUAUUAAUACCGCAUACACCCUACGGGGAAAAGGGGGCGCUUGCGCUCUCGCUAUUGGAUGAGCCUAAGUCGGAUUAGCUAGUUGGUGGGGUAAAGGCCUACCAAGGCGACGAUCUGUAGCUGGUCUGAGAGGAUGAUCAGCCACACCGGGACUGAGACACGGCCCGGACUCCUACGGGAGGCAGCAGUGGGGAAUAUUGGACAAUGGGGGCAACCCUGAUCCAGCCAUGCCGCGUGUGUGAAGAAGGCCUUUUGGUUGUAAAGCACUUUAAGCAGUGAAGAAGACUCUAUGGUUAAUACCCAUAGACGAUGACAUUAGCUGCAGAAUAAGCACCGGCUAACUCUGUGCCAGCAGCCGCGGUAAUACAGAGGGUGCAAGCGUUAAUCGGAUUUACUGGGCGUAAAGCGCGCGUAGGUGGCCAAUUAAGUCAAAUGUGAAAUCCCCGAGCUUAACUUGGGAAUUGCAUUCGAUACUGGUUGGCUAGAGUAUGGGAGAGGAUGGUAGAAUUCCAGGUGUAGCGGUGAAAUGCGUAGAGAUCUGGAGGAAUACCGAUGGCGAAGGCAGCCAUCUGGCCUAAUACUGACACUGAGGUGCGAAAGCAUGGGGAGCAAACAGGAUUAGAUACCCUGGUAGUCCAUGCCGUAAACGAUGUCUACUAGCCGUUGGGGCCUUUGAGGCUUUAGUGGCGCAGCUAACGCGAUAAGUAGACCGCCUGGGGAGUACGGUCGCAAGACUAAAACUCAAAGGAAUUGACGGGGACCCGCACAAGCGGUGGAUGAUGUGGAUUAAUUCGAUGCAACGCGAAAAACCUUACCUACCCUUGACAUGCCAGGAACUUGCCAGAGAUGGCUUGGUGCUCGAAAGAGAGCCUGGACACAGGUGCUGCAUGGCUGUCGUCAGCUCGUGUCG